GAUGAAGAACGCAGCGAAAUGCGAUAAGUAAUGUGAAUGGCAGAAUUCAGUGAAUCAUCGAAUCUUUGAACGCACAUUGCGCCCGCCAGUAUUCUGGCGGGCAUGCCUGUUCGAGCGUCAUUUCAACCAUCAAGCCCCCGGCUUGUGUUGGGGACCUGCGGCUGCCGCAGGCCCUGAAAAGCAGUGGCGGGCUCGCUGUCACACCGAGCGUAGUAGCAUACAUCUCGCUCUGGGCGUGCUGCGGGUUCCGGCCGUUAAACCACCUUCAUAACCCAAGGUUGACCUCGGAUCAGGUAGGAAGACCCGCUGAACUUAAGCAUAUCAAUAAGCGGAGGA
rnacentral:misc_RNA from 1 species